rnacentral:rRNA from 1 species
UUUAUAUGAGGUCUGACCUGCCCAAUGAGUUAUAACUUGAAUGGCCGCGGUAUUUUAACCGUGCUAAGGUAGCAUAAUCACUUGUUUUUUAAUUGAGGGCUAGAAUGAAUGGUUGGACGAAAUAUCAGCUUUCUUUGGUUUAAAUGAUGAAUUUAAUUUUUUAGUUAAAAAGCUAAGAUGUUUUUAUAGGACGAGAAGACCCUAUAGAUCUUUAUAUUUUAUUUAUUUUUAUUAUUUAGUUUUGUUAUAUAAUAUGAUUAGAAGGAAUAUUUAAUUGGGGUGAUUUCAGAAUUUUAAUAACUUCUGUUUAUUAAUUCAUUGAUUUAUGUUUGUAUGAUCCAUUUUUUGUGAUUUUAAGAUUAAGUUACCUUAGGGAUAACAGCGUAAUUUUUCCGGAGAGUUCAUAUUGAUGGAGGAGUUUGCGACCUCGAUGUUGGAUUAAAAUAAGUAAUAGGCGCAGUUGCAUAUUUACUAGGUCUGUUCGACCUUUAAUUUUUUACAUGAUCUGAGUUCA